rnacentral:rRNA from 1 species
CGGGUCAGCAUACUGCCGUGAAUACGUUCCCGGGCCUUGUACACACCGCCCGUCACACCAUGAGAGUUGGGAAUACCCGAAGCCUGUGAGCUAACAAUAAGAGGCAGCAGUCGAAGGUAGAAUCAAUGAUUGGGGUGAAGUCGUAACAAGGUAGC